rnacentral:rRNA from 1 species
GACAAACGCUGGCGGUAUGCCUAACACAUGCAAGUCGAACGGACAGAACAGGGAAGCUUUUCGGAGUGGAACUGGAAAGUUAGUGGCGGAUGGGUGAGUAACGCGUGGACAACCUACCUUGUAAAGGGGAAUAACCUCGAGAAAUCGAAGCUAAUACCCCAUAAUAACCUUGCUUCGCAUGAAGUAAGGAGGAAAGGCGGCCUUAGCGCUGUCGAUACAAGAUGGGUCCGCGUCUGAUUAGCUAGUUGGUGAGGUAAAGGCUCACCAAGGCGACGAUCAGUAGCCGGCCUGAGAGGGUGAACGGCCACAUUGGGACUGAGAUACGGCCCAAACUCCUACGGGAGGCAGCAGUGGGGAAUCUUCCGCAAUGGGCGAAAGCCUGACGGAGCAAUGCCGCGUGAGUGAAGAAGGCCUUCGGGUUGUAAAACUCUGUCCUUAUCGAAGAGAGAGUGUUGUAGUAACUGACAAUACUAGGACGGUAGAUGAGGAGGAAGCCCCGGCUAACUAUGUG